rnacentral:rRNA from 1 species
UGGGGAAUCUUGCGCAAUGGCCUAACGGCUGACGCAGCGACGCCGCGUGUGGGAUGAAGCUCUUCGGAGUGUAAACCACUGUUGCCCGGGACGAACAGCUCGAUUUCUCGAGCCUGACGGUACCGGGUGAGGAAGCACCGGCUAACUCCGUGCCAGCAGCCGCGGUAAUACGGGGGGUGCGAGCGUUGUCCGGAAUCACUGGGCGUAAAGGGCGCGUAGGUGGUUUGAUAAGGGUGUGGUGAAAGUCCGGGGCUCAACCCCGGAUCUGCCGUGCCGACUGUCAAACUCGAGGACUGUAGAGGCAGACGGAAUUCCGGGUGUAGCGGUGGAAUGCGUAGAGAUCCGGAGGAAGACCGGUGGCGAAGGCGGUCUGCUGGGCAGUUUCUGACACUGAGGCGCGACAGCGUGGGGAGCAAACAGG